rnacentral:rRNA from 1 species
GAAAGAAAGAAGUGAUGGCGGCCCAGCCCAGUCCAGCCCGCGAUGAUGAUGGAAGACGAGGCCCGACUCGGAGCCGAGCUAGGGUUGGCCUGGAAAUAUAGAUAUAUAUAUAUAGGCCAGCCGCCGCCCCCUUGCCCCGUUUUGGUUGAGAAGAAAGAAGAUCGAGCGAGCGAGAAAUCCCCAAUCCCCACCAAACCCUAACCCAAACCCUAACCCUGAUUGAAACGACCAGGAGAGGAGAGGAGAGGAGCGGAUCCGGCGAUGGCCGUCGAGAAGAUGCACUUGUCCAUGCCGUUGCCCGCCGGCUUGGAGGGUUUCCCCUUCACCACGUUCCAGGCGGAGCUGGAGGCCUUCACCGUCAAGUUGAGGGCGGAGGCGAAGAAGGCCAAGGCCAAGCCGGAGGUCAAGGAGGCCAAGGCCAAGGAGGAGAAGGCCAAGCCGGAGGUCAAGGCCAAGGUGAAGAAGGCCAAGGCGAAGGAGGCCAAGCCGGAGGUCGAGGCCAAGGCAAAGGAGGCCAAGCCGGAGGUUAAGGCCAAGGCGAAGGAGGCCAAGGCGAAGGAGGCCAAGCCGGAGGUCGAGGCCAAGUCAAAGGAGGUCAAGGCCAAGGUGGAGUUGAGGACCCUCACCAAGGAGGAGGAGGAGGCGCUCAUCAAGUUCGUGGCGCUGCUGGAGAAGGAGGAGGACUUCCUCGACGCCAAGGCGGAGGCGGAGAAGGAGGCGGAGAAGUGUGGCUCCAAGAGGAAGGUGGAGUUGGAGCGGGAUGAGGAGGGGGCAGCGUUCCUGGCGUGGAUCGAGUCCACCAAGCCACAGACGGACCAAGUGGAUUACUCGGAUGGGGAUGUGUCGGACGGCUACCACUCGCAGGACGACAACAUCGGCAGCGACGGCAGGGUCAUGUCGCGGUAUGAGCGCCAUGUUCAGGCCAACAACGCUCGCUGUCCUUUCUUGGUGGGGGCCUAAUCCCAUCCACGACGGUGCUCUUGCUCUUGUGGUCUGAGAAGCUGACGAGGAGCUUCGCCAUUGCUAUCCCAUCUAGUACCAACCAUGUAUCUAUCUUAUCUAUCUAUAUUUCUAGUUGAUCCUGUGGACAUAUAUAUGUGGGAUUGAUCCGCCUACCCUGAUGCUAUUGUUGCGCACCGAUGAAGCAAUGUCAUUGUGAGACUGAUAAUCUAUCGAGUACUAGUAGUAUCUAGUAUAUGUUAAAUCUACUGGUGUUAUGCCCUUCGUAUGUGAUGAUGCAAUGUCUCUGAUGAUGCCAAUGUGAUGAGAUUUCUC